GAAGUCCUGCAGGUUAUCAGCAGGAUGCUGUCGGCCUUUGACCUCUGCCCUCAGCAGCUCCUCUGAUCUCAAAGAGCUCGACCUGAGGGGCAACCAGCUGAUGGACCAGGGGGCGGAGCUGCUUUCUGAUUGGCUGAGGAAACCCCAGUGUGGACUGAAGACACUGAGGUUGUCACAUUGCACAGAGAGCAGCUGUGAGUAUCUGGCCUCAGCUCUGAAGUCGAACCCUUCACACCUCAUAGUUCUUGAGCUGAACAAGAGUGAUCCAGGAGAAAAAGGUCUGAAGCUGCUGACUGAUUUACAGAAGAACAAAUCUAUCAGACUAGAGACACUGAGUGUGAUGAAGUGAACCGGACCAGAUAAAAGAUACUGGAUCAUUUUCUUCCUUCGGUCCAGACCAAAUGAGCUGAGCUACAGGUGUGAAAGUCACCUUACAUGCAUCCUGAUUCUCCUCUCUCAGGAAUCAAUACUGAAAACUUUUCAAUCAGAAGUCAGAGGGUAUCAGAGACCAGCUGCCAGCUGAGAAGACGAUUGUGGCCGGACAGAUGAACAAUGAGGAGCUGCAGAUUCAGCUGAUCAUUCUCUGCAGGUUCAUCACUUCCAGAGACACACAACACGUUUCAGGAGCCUUUUCCUAAUUUUCUAUUCACUUGGCACUUAAUAAUAAUGUUGUUUAUAUGUUUGUAUGAGUAUGUGCCGUCUCACAGGACUGACCUAUAAAUAGGAGGAGUACCAGGAGAAGGCGUGGCGGACUGGGAGCAGACAGCUUUUGACCAUGCUGUUGCUGGCUCCUCUCCCCUUAUGAUUUAUUGAUUAAGUUGAUUUGUGUCUGCUGUUUUUAUUGAACUAAGGCUCCCAAAGAAAAUGUAUGUAAUCACUUCAUGGCUGGAAUAAAACUACGUUAUUUUGGAGACUUUGAAGAGUCAAGUUCCUCCAGUCAUCACCCACAAGUCUAAUAAGGUCUGUUAUUUAAAACAUUUUUAUUAUUAAAAAUAACUAACGUAGUAACUUUGAUUUACACGACAGGCAGUUUGUCUCUUUGUACGUGUUCACUUUAAUGAACCAGUUCUCACGUGUCAUAUUCACUCUGUUUAAAUCAAGUUGUAGGAGCCAUGUUGUGUUUAUUUAUUUAUUCUGUACCUCCAAAAUACAGGGGGCAGUAUUUCCUUUGUUUACUGACCCUACGCGGAUGUUGGCGGGGGGUCAGGCAGGUUACUUAAGGUUACUCAGUGUUGCACAGGUGAGGCUGAUUAGAGGGGAGAAGCAAACGGUUUUCGACUGUGCUUGUGCGUUUUUCUGUUUAUAAUUUAUGUAGACAAGUGUUAAGUAUGUGGCUUCCGCAAGAAAUUAAAUGAACAUUAUUAUUUCAAACGCAAA